GUCCACGCUGUAAACGAUGACGACUAGGUGUGGGGGGUUCAGUCCCUUCCGUGCCGCAGCUAACGCAUUAAGUCGUCCGCCUGGGUAGUACGGCCGCAAGGUUGAAACUCAAAGGAAUUGAUGGGGGCCCGCACAAGCGGUGGAGCAUGUGGUUCAAUUCGAUGCAGAGCGAAGAACCUUACCUGGGCUUGACAUGCAGGAAGUAGAAACCGGAAACGGCAACGACCUGUUAAGUCAGGAACCUGCACAGGUGGUGCAUGGCUGUCGU
rnacentral:rRNA from 1 species